rnacentral:other from 17 species
GAAGCGCCCGCCUUCAAUGGCGGGCGAGGAUUGAAAC